CUGCCGUCUACUCUUGGCCAGCCUUCUGAAAGGAAGAUUAAUCCAGGAUGGCAUCAUGAGUUCACAUGUCCGCAUGAUUAAAGGUAUUUUCCGGUAGACGAUGGGGAUGCGUUCCAUUAGAUAGUAGGCGGGGUAACGGCCCACCUAGUCAACGAUGGAUAGGGGUUCUGAGAGGAAGGUCCCCCACAUUGGAACUGAGACACGGUCCAAACUCCUACGGGAGGCAGCAGUGAGGAAUAUUGGUCAAUGGGCGAUGGCCUGAACCAGCCAAGUAGCGUGAAGGAUGACUGCCCUAUGGGUUGUAAACUUCUUUUAUAAAGGAAUAAAGUCGGGUAUGCAUACCCGUUUGCAUGUACUUUAUGAAUAAGGAUCGGCUAACUCCGUGCCAGCAGCCGCGGUAAUACGGAGGAUCCGAGCGUUAUCCGGAUUUAUCGGGUUUAAAGGGAGCGUAGAUGGAUGUUUAAGUCAGUUGUGAAAGUUUGCGGCUCAACCGUAAAAUUGCAGUUGAUACUGGAUGUCUUGAGUGCAGUUGAGGCAGGCGGAAUUCGUGGUGUAGCGGUGAAAUGCUUAGAUAUCACGAAGAA
rnacentral:rRNA from 1 species